rnacentral:rRNA from 1 species
AGUGAACGCUGGCGGUAGGCCUAACACAUGCAAGUCGAACGGCAGCACAGGAGAGCUUGCUCUCUGGGUGGCGAGUGGCGGACGGGUGAGGAAUACAUCGGAAUCUACUCUGUCGUGGGGGAUAACGUAGGGAAACUUACGCUAAUACCGCAUACGACCUACGGGUGAAAGCAGGGGACCUUCGGGCCUUGCGCGAUUGAAUGAGCCGAUGUCGGAUUAGCUAGUUGGCGGGGUAAAGGCCCACCAAGGCGACGAUCCGUAGCUGGUUUGAGAGGAUGAUCAGCCACACUGGAACUGAGACACGGUCCAGACUCCUACGGGAGGCAGCAGUGGGGAAUAUUGGACAAUGGGCGCAAGCCUGAUCCAGCCAUACCGCGUGGGUGAAGAGGGCCUUCGGGUUGUAAAGCCCUUUUGUUGGGAAAGAAAUCCAGCUGGCUAAUACCCGGUUGGGAUGACGGUACCCAAAGAAUAAGCACCGGCUAACUUCGUGCCAGCCGCCGCAGUAA